rnacentral:rRNA from 1 species
AUUGAACGCUGGCGGCAUGCUUUACACAUGCAAGUCGAACGGUAACAGCACUCCGGUGGCUGACGAGUGGCGAACGGGUGAGUAAUACAUCGGAACGUGCCUAGUCGUGGGGGAUAACUACUCGAAAGAGUAGCUAAUACCGCAUGAGAUCUAAGGAUGAAAGCAGGGGUCCUUCUGGCCUUGCGCUACUAGAUCGGCUGAUGGCCGCUUAGGUAGUUGGUGGGAUUAAAGCUUACCCAGCCGACGAGCUGUAGCUGGUCUGAGAGGACGACCAGCCACACUGGGACUGAGACAGGGCCCAGACGCCUACGGGAGGCAGCAGUGUGGAACUGUGGACAAUGGGCGCAAGCCUGAUCCAGCAAUGCCGCGUGCAGGAUGAAGGCCUUCGGGUUGUAAACUGCUUUUGUACGGAACGAAAAGCCCUCUCCUAAUACAGGGGGGUCAUGACGGUACCGUAAGAAUAAGCGCCGGCUAACUACGUG